UACGUAGGGGGCAAGCGUUGUCCGGAUUUACUGGGCGUAAAGAGCGUGUAGGCGGCCAAGCAGGUCCGUUGUGAAAACUGGAGGCUUAACCUCCAGACGUCGACGGAAACCGCGUGGCUAGAGUCCGGAAGAGGAGAAUGGAAUUCCUGGUGUAGCGGCGAAAUGCGCAGAUAUCAGGAAGAACACCCGUGGCGAAGGCGGUUCUCUGGGACGGUACUGACGCUGAGGAGCGAAAGCGUGGGGAGCGAACAGG
rnacentral:rRNA from 1 species